rnacentral:ncRNA from 1 species
UGAUAGCGUAGAAGCGUGAGGUUGCUACCCUGCGAGGUAGGUUUUCCGUGGAGCGAAUGUCAAGUUAAGAAACUGACGACAA